rnacentral:lncRNA from 1 species
CUCUCUCUCGCACCAAGAAGAGAAGAAGGAGAAGGGGGCCUAGUGUUGUGGCCGACGAUGGCUCCGACAGCAUGUUUCGUCAUUGACGACGCCGUGGACCAUAGUAUAUAUGCGAUGGCCGGUUGGAUGAAGGGUUGGGUCGUGGUCGUGAGCAGCGAAUGUGAUUUUGGAUUGACUAGUGUUACUGAAAAGGAGGUCAUGGAUAGUGUAGGGGAAGUGGAGAAGUGCUAGAUGAGGGAGGAACAAAUGACCCAAUGUCAGAAAAAAAAUAACGUGGCAUUCCCCGUUAGCCGAAAAGUUAACGCUGUUAAUUUUGAAGGACUAAAAUCAAAGUUUUUUAAAGAAGGAGGACUAAAAUGUACUUUACUUUAAAAAAAGAAAUUAAAACUAAAAUUGCUUAAUAAUAUAAAGACUAAAAACAUAUUUAACCUAAAUUUU